rnacentral:rRNA from 1 species
UACGAAGGGGGCUAGCGUUGUUCGGAAUCACUGGGCGUAAAGCGCACGUAGGCGGAUCCUUAAGUCGGGGGUGAAAUCCCGAGGCUCAACCUCGGAACUGCCUUUGAUACUGGGGAUCUUGAGUCCGGGAGAGGUGAGUGGAAUUGCGAGUGUAGAGGUGAAAUUCGUAGAUAUUCGCAAGAACACCAGUGGCGAAGGCGGCUCACUGGCCCGGUACUGACGCUGAGGUGCGAAAGCGUGGGGAGCAAACGGG